GAUGAACGCUGGCGGCGUGCCUAAUACAUGCAAGUCGAGCGAACAGACGAGGAGCUUGCUCCUCUGACGUUAGCGGCGGACGGGUGAGUAACACGUGGAUAACCUACCUAUAAGACUGGGAUAACUUCGGGAAACCGGAGCUAAUACCGGAUAACAUGUUGAACCGCAUGGUUCAACAGUGAAAGACGGUCUUGCUGUCGCUUAUAGAUGGAUCCGCGCCGCAUUAGCUAGUUGGUAAGGUAACGGCUUACCAAGGCAACGAUGCGUAGCCGACCUGAGAGGGUGAUCGGCCACACUGGAACUGAGCCACGGUCCAGACUCCUACGGGAGGCAGCAGUAGGGAAUCUUCCGCAAUGGGCGAAAGCCUGACGGAGCAACGCCGCGUGAGUGAAGAAGGUCUUCGGAUCGUAAAACUCUGUUAUUAGGGAAGAACAAAUGUGUAAGUAACUAUGCACGUCUUGACGGUACCUAAUCAGAAAGCCACGGCUAACUACGUG
rnacentral:rRNA from 1 species